GACGAACGCUGGCGGCGUGCUUAACACAUGCAAGUCGAACGCUGAAGACCUGGCUUUUGUUGGGUUGGAUGAGUGGCGAACGGGUGAGUAACACGUGAGUAACCUGCCCUCUUCUUUGGGAUAACGCCCGGAAACGGGUGCUAAUACUGGAUAUUCCCUGGCCUCCCCUUGGGGGUUGGUGGAAGGCUUUUUUCUGGUGGGGUAUGGGCUGACGGCCUAUCAGUUUGUUGGUGGGGUGAUGGCCUACCAAGGCUUUGACGGGUAGCCGGCCUGAGAGGGUGACCGGUGACAUUGGGACUGGGAUACGGCCCAGACUCCGACGGGAGGCAGCAGUGGGGAAUAGUGCACAAUGGGCGAAAGCCUGAUGCAGCGACGCCGCGUGAGGGAUGGAGGCCUUCGGGGUGUAAACCUCUUUCGCUCAUGGUCAAGCCGCAACUGUGGGUUGUGGUGAGGGUAGUGGGUAAAGAAGCGCCGGCUAACUACGUG
rnacentral:rRNA from 1 species